UUACACAUUACAUUUCUCUAAUGUAAAUGCAUAAAGGAGGUCUUACACAUAGUUACAGUUAUUACAUAACAGUAUAUAGAUAAUCCUAUCAACGGCUAUUAAAUUAUUUAUGCAAGGUUUCACCAUAUUCUGAUUCAUGCUCUGAUUUCCAAAAAAUAAAGCAGCAUUAAAAGACUUUAUACAGCAUUUUACAGCAAUUCACACGUGAACCAAAUGAGGCAGAUUGGUUUUUCACUCACUCUCUCAACUCAAGGCUACUUUUCCAUAUAUAGUAACCUAUGUGUUGCAUGGAAAUCUACACCUCCUAUAAAUACAUAACCACCCUCCACCCUGGUAGACGCAGACCGGAUGAGAUGGAGAUAGCUGAGUGGUCUAGAUCACUUCCUCUGUUUUCCAUGUGGUAUGAAGUUGGACAGACCACACAAUCCUACAUGUUUACGUUUCUGCAUGAUUAAAAUACGUGA